rnacentral:rRNA from 1 species
GGGGUGAGUAACACGUGGAUAACCUACCUAUAAGACUGGGAUAACUUCGGGAAACCGGAGCUGAUACCGGAUAAUAUAUUGAACCGCAUGGUUCAAUAGUGAAAGACGGUUUUGCUGUCACUUAUAGAUGGAUCCGCGCCGCAUUAGCUAGUUGGUAAGGUAACGGCUUACCAAGGCAACGAUGCGUAGCCGACCUGAGAGGGUGAUCGGCCACACUGGAACUGAGACACGGUCCAG